rnacentral:rRNA from 1 species
UACGUGGGGGGCAAGCGUUGUUCGGAAUUAUUGGGCGUAAAGGGCUCGUAGGUGGCCAACUAAGUCAGACGUGAAAUCCCUCGGCUUAACCGGGGAACUGCGUCUGAUACUGGAUGGCUUGAGUUCGGGAGAGGGAUGCGGAAUUCCAGGUGUAGCGGUGAAAUGCGUAGAUAUCUGGAGGAACACCGGUGGCGAAGGCGGCAUCCUGGACCGAUACUGACGCUGAGGAGCGAAAGCCAGGGGAGCAAACGGG